rnacentral:rRNA from 1 species
CAGAAGUGCGAAUGCUGACGUGAGUAACGACAAGGGGGGUGAAAAACCUCCCCGCCGGAAGACCAAGGGUUCCUGCGCGACGUUAAUCGGCGCAGGGUGAGUCGGCCCCUAAGGCGAGGCAGAAAUGCGUAGUCGAUGGGAAACGGGUUAAAAUUCCCGUACCGCUCGUUAUUGCGAUGGAGGGACGGAGAAGGCUAGGUCAGCACGGCGUUGGUAGUCCGUGUUUAAGGUUGUAGGUGGAUCGCUUAGGUAAAUCCGGGCGGUUAACACUGAGAACUGAUGACGAGUGAUCCCUUGUGGAUCGCGAAGUGAUUGAUGCCAUGCUUCCAAGAAAAGCUUCUAAGCUUCAGAUAACGAGAGACCGUACCCCAAACCGACACAGGUGGUCAGGUAGAGAAUACCAAGGCGCUUGAGAGAACUCUGGUGAAGGAACUAGGCAAAAUAGCACCGUAACUUCGGGAGAAGGUGCGCUGCUGACGGUGAAGGCCUUGCGCCGUAAGCUGUUGGCAGCCGAAGUAACCAGGCCGCUGCGACUGUUUAUUAAAAACACAGCACUCUGCAACCACGAAAGUGGACGUAUAGGGUGUGACGCCUGCCCGGUGCCGGAAGGUUAAUUGAUGGGGUCAGCCGCAAGGCGAAGCUCUUGAUCGAAGCCCCGGUAAACGGCGGCCGUAACGAUAACGGUCCUAAGGUAGCGAAAUUCCUUGUCGGGUAAGUUCCGACCUGCACGAAUGGCGUAACGAUGGCGGCGCUGUCUCCACCAGGGACUCAGUGAAAUCGAAAUCGCGGUGAAGAUGCCGUGUACCCGUGGCUAGACGGAAAGACCCCGUGAACCUUUACUGUAGCUUCACACUGGACUUUGACAUGAUCUGUGUAGGAUAGCUGGGAGGCUUUGAAGUGGUGACGCCAGUUGCCAUGGAGCCGUCCUUGAAAUACCAGCCUGGUCCUGUCGGGGUUCUAACGUCGACCUGUUAUCCAGGUUACGGACAGUGUGUGGUGGGCAGUUUGACUGGGGCGGUCUCCUCCCAAAGAGUAACGGAGGAGCACGAAGGUGCGCUAAUCACGGUCGGAAAUCGUGAGGUUAGUGUAAAGGCACAAGCGCGCUUGACUGCGAGACAGACAAGUCGAGCAGGUACGAAAGUAGGUCUUAGUGAUCCGGUGGUUCUGUAUGGAAGGGCCAUCGCUCAACGGAUAAAAGGUACUCCGGGGAUAACAGGCUGAUACCGCCCAAGAGUUCAUAUCGACGGCGGUGUUUGGCACCUCGAUGUCGGCUCAUCACAUCCUGGGGCUGAAGCCGGUCCCAAGGGUAUGGCUGUUCGCCAUUUAAAGUGGUACGCGAGCUGGGUUUAGAACGUCGUGAGACAGUUCGGUCCCUAUCUGCCAUGGGCGUUGGAGAUUUGAGAAGAGUUGCUCCUAGUACGAGAGGACCGGAGUGAACGAACCUCUGGUGUACCGGUUGUCACGCCAGUGGCAUUGCCGGGUAGCUAAGUUCGGACGGGAUAACCGCUGAAAGCAUCUAAGCGGGAAGCCUCCUUCAAGAUGAGAUCUCCCUGGAGCUUUAAGCUCCCUAAAGGGCCGUCGAAGACUACGACGUUGAUAGGCGAGGUGUGGAAGCGUUGUGAGACGUUGAGCUGACUCGUACUAAUUGCCCGUGCGGCUUGACC